AUAUUUUCUUUUACAAAAACUUCAAAUAGAGGUGGAUAUUGAAGACUCAAAUAGUUGUGAAAAAUGAACUGAAAUCUCCGACAACACUCUUAUAACAAACCUAGUCCAGAUCGCGAAAUGAGGAAUUUCAGAAUUUCGUACAUAUUUAUUUGAGUGCACUCAUUUGAAUUAAUAUCUACUGUUCUUGGAUGUUUUACACUCUGAUCCUCGCUGCAAUUGUUCAAGGAAAAUUAUUUAGUUUCAUUAGCAAACCACCUUUAGAAAAGCCUAUUACGAAUUUGGAAGAACUUGCAGCGUCUGAUGUCCCAAUAAAAGCUCUAGAAGUUACUAAGCGUUUGUUCAUGUUCAAAGAUAAAACAAAUGAUAUCAUUUUGGAAAAAAUUGAAAUUUUAGAAAAAGUGGAAAGUUUGAAUAUCAUUGCCGGUUACGCUCUCAAACAAAAUUUUGCCACAAUAGUUGAUGACGGUGUCCUGAUUUUGGAACCGAAUUUCAAAAAACUGAUGCAGUACUUCACUAUAUCUAACAUUCUGAUGGUAUUUUACAUGCCCUUCGACCAUGUACUGAAUGAAUACUUCGAAAAAACUUUGCAUAGAAUAGUGGAAAGUGGUUUUUUUAGCCAGUCCAUAUCCAAAUGGAAACACAUCUACUCUUUGAGAAGUAAAAUAGAGGAGAAAGAAAAAACGGUGUUCAGUAUUGGCGUACAUCAAAUAGAAUCCGCAUUUUUUGUGCUGGCAUUUGGUAUAACAUCCGCUUUUUUAACAUUCAUUUUGGAACAUAUCACACACAUUUUUACUUCAAGGCUCGCUUCAAAGUGUGAUAAGACUAAAACUUAUACAUCGUUGAUUUACAUCGAGUGAUUCACUAUGAAUAUACCACUAUUAUAUAUUACCUAGUAUACUAAAAAUUCUAUAUCCUUAUAGAAACUGUUGCGUCAAAAUCGAAUGUAUUUUUUUGAAAUCAUAUCAUAUUUACAGGUAGAAAUAGAUCUUUCAACGGUACAAACGUCCAUAUAGGACGAAACUGCAGUAACGUUAGUUAUAAUUAAAAGUGGUAAAAAACAUAGAAAUUUUCAUUUCUCUUUUCACUACAAAAUGAGUUGAAAAAAAUUAUUAUUAAUAAUACAGUCAUUUUGCAAUCACGUUCGUUACUGUUUUUCACCGAAUGAGCCUUUUUCCUGAGAAUAGUACAGCGAACGUGUCACGAGAGGCGGCACUAGCGGUAGGGACAAACA
rnacentral:misc_RNA from 1 species